GGAAUAGUUUACAUUGGAAAGUUAAUACAAUUGCUAAUUGUUCGAGGCAACUCUUAGGUGUUCGACUCACCUCUAUUCCG
rnacentral:tRNA from 1 species